rnacentral:rRNA from 1 species
AUUGAACGCUGGCGGCAGGCCUAACACAUGCAAGUCGAACGGUAACAGGAAGAAGCUUGCUUCUUUGCUGACGAGUGGCGGACGGGUGAGUAAUGUCUGGGAAACUGCCUGAUGGAGGGGGAUAACUACUGGAAACGGUAGCUAAUACCGCAUAACGUCGCAAGACCAAAGAGGGGGACCUUCGGGCCUCUUGCCAUCGGAUGUGCCCAGAUGGGAUUAGCUAGUAGGUGGGGUAACGGCUCACCUAGGCGACGAUCCCUAGCUGGUCUGAGAGGAUGACCAGCCACACUGGAACGUAGACACGGUCCAGACUCCUACGGGAGGCAGCAGUGGGGAAUAUUGCACAAUGGGCGCAAGCCUGAUGCAGCCAUGCCGCGUGUAUGAAGAAGGCCUUCGGGUUGUAAAGUACUUUCAGCGGGGAGGAAGGGAGUAAAGUUAAUACCUUUGCUCAUUGACGUUACCCGCAGAAGAAGCACCGGCUAACUCCGUG